rnacentral:lncRNA from 1 species
GGCAAACCUUGCUUAGCUUACUUACUGUGUAUGUCUGGUAGGGUGUGAUACAAACACAGCCGUAUCAUGCAAGGCAUUUUACAGUUAGAAUUAUCGCUUUUCAUUUUGAAAACGUAUGAAAGUGUCAAUUAAAAGUUCUUCCCUGCGAUUUCAUGAGAUUUUAGUUUCUGAUGCUCCCUUUCAUGUUUUCAAAGUCACUCGAUAUUGCUUCUGCAAACUAUCAUGGGCUUGUCGGUCAUUAAAAGUUACGUGUAAGGAAAUACUCCCUCUGUCCCACAAUGAGUGACACAGUUUGACUAUAUUAAAUUACAGUUCUAUCUUGUAUUUCCAAAGAACUGCUUAC